rfam:Schistosoma curassoni strain Dakar, Senegal genome assembly, scaffold: SCTD_scaffold0001721
AUCCAGCUGACGAGUCUUGAAUAGGACGAAACGUGCGUCUUGGAU